CAAAGCUCAGCUACAAUUUCCCAAAUUGAUUCUGACGAAUUCAAUUAGGGUAUCGUGCUGAUCUCUUCAUUCCGAAGCUCAAUUUUGCGAUUACUGCGAAAUCCUAACCAAAUCAUUCAAUCAUGUCAUCCAAGCAAGGUGGAAAAGCCAAGCCCUUGAAGCAACCUAAGGCUGAAAAGAAAGAGUAUGACGAGACUGACAAGGCUAAUAUUCAAAAGAAGAAAGAAGAAGAGAAGGCGCUUAAGGAGCUCAAGGCGAAGGCCCAGCAGAAAGGGGCAUUUGGAGGUUCUGGUCUGAAGAAGAGUGGCAAAAAGUAAGUCUUGAACACGACUUGGUGAAACAGCUAGCUCGUUGCUUGCCAUUGCUGUCGUGUUUGUCGAUUUUUAUGUAUGCUAUUUAAACAUGUUAGCUUUUGCCUACUAAUGGUUAAUGGUUAUGAAGUUGUGAAGGGCUUGCGGAUAUAAGAUUGUUAUGAAAUGCUUGUUUCUGAAUGUAUCUUUGUUCUGUUUCUGGUAAA